rnacentral:rRNA from 1 species
ACAGCCGUACCAUGCUGAAUAUACCGGUUCUCGUUAGAUCACCAAAGUUAAGCAUCAUUGGGCGCGGUCAGUACUUGGGAGGGUGGACCACCUGGGAACACUGCGUGCCGUU